AUUUUUCACCCCGUAUUUCCCAAUUAUUGUAAAAUGGAGGGGAUGUAGAAUUGUUUUCGUAAAAUUUUGUGUUCCCUGAUCGGGCUAAAUCAGUUCAGCUAUGGACCGCCUGGGCUAUGGAACAAGAGGACCUCGGAUAAAAAUCCUCUUAUCGUUAACUGCGUUACCUCUUACGCAACAUAUAUAACCUUCAAUAGCUGGUGACACCAAAGUAAGUAGUGCUCUAAUUUUUCCUUAUUUGUGAGAAAUUUUUGAGAAGAAGCUUUUUGUCGGUUCUUGUAUAUUAAAGAGCGUCUAAGAUUAGUAUUUGUAACAUUGCGUAGUUAAUAAUGUCUAGUUGUAUAAACAAUUGCAAACAUUAUACGAUUUCCUGUAUUUAGAAUAUUUUUAAUGUUUUUAAUUUAUACGUGGCCCGUGGUCCUGUAUUUUUAUUUUUGUUACGGAUAAUUUAAAGAUGAGUUCGAGAGCUCGAAAAAGUUUGCAAAUGCUGCAGACAAGUGACAAAAUAUCGACAAUAGCUUAACAGUGUCCAAUGAUAUGAGCAUAUGUAUGUGACUCCGAAGCCGUCCGUAUGAUAAAUGAAGCUGAGUUUAUUUUUGCUGAUAUGUUUUAAACAGUGCAACGGUUUAAAGUUGAAGGCGAGACAGAAAAUGGUACCUCUAGGUAUGAAGUAACAGUUUUAACAAAUAAAUUUCGUGAAGAUAACGCAAAUCUACAUAAUACUGCAAAGCUAAAGCCCAAAUAGUGACCAAAAAAUUGAAGAAGAAACAUACGAAGAUAUAUCUGUAACAACUACAUUUUCUAAAAAUGAUGAGUAUCUACCCAUUAAUACCUUAGCUUCAGGAAGUCGUGAAGAUAAUAUCGAACAAGAAAUCACUAAUAUCAGAAACAAAAGCCCAAAUAGUGACCAAAGAAUUGAAGAAGAAACACGUGAAGAAGUAUUUUUAACGAAUAGAUGUUAUGAAGAUGAUGAAUAUCUGCCCAGUAAAGCAUUAGAUUGAGAAAGUAGUGAUAAAGAAAAUAGCGAAAAAUAAAUUACCGAUAUACGAAACAAAAGCUCUAAUAGUGACCAAAGACUUGAUAUAAAUAAUGAAACUAGAGGGACAAAACGAACAAAGGGGGUUAAUCAGAGAGCCAUGAAUAAGAAAAAAGCAUGGAAGGAUUGGUUUCAAAAAGCCUAGACGACAAAAAAUACGUUUCAUGAUACACUUAGAAAAUUGAGACAUCUAGAGCCUGGAUGUCAGUGCGGAACAGAAAAAAAAUGGUGCUAGGAAAUGCCAGCUUAUUAGUGAAGAACAUUAGUGAACAGAAAAAUUAUAUUUAAAAAUUUUUGGCAGCAAAUGUCUUGGAAUCAAAGAAAAGUUUAUGUGUGCAAUACAGUGAAAUGUAAAAGUCCCAAAAAA
rnacentral:lncRNA from 1 species